rnacentral:rRNA from 1 species
GACGAACGCUGGCGGCGUGCUUAACACAUGCAAGUCGAGCGGUAAGGCCCUUCGGGUACGACGAGCGGCGAACGGGUGAGUAACACGUGGGUGACCUGCCUCUAGCUCUGGGAUAAGCCUGGGAAACUGGGUCUAAUACCGGAUAUGACUCCACGGCGCAUGUUGUGGGGUGGAAAGCCUUGUGUGGCUAGAGAUGGGCCCGCGGCCUAUCAGCUUGUUGGUGGGGUGAUGGCCACCAAGGCGACGACGGGUAGCCGGCCUGAGAGGGCGACCGGCCGACACUGGGACUGAGGACACGGCCCAGACUCCUACGGGAGGCAGCAGUGGGAAGUCUUGCGCAAUGGGCGAAAGCCUGACGCAGCGACGCCGCGUGAGGGAUGACGGCCUCGGUUGUAACCGUACUU